AUUAAAGCUUCUUGAUUAACACUUAGGGUUGAACCUGUGGUUGUGGGUUCCCGGCCUUUGAUGCCUGGGAACGAAGUUGUUUGUGUUCUCCCAGCGUGUUCUCAGAACUGCCUGGAUGGCUGUGGCUUUACAAUCUGCUUCCCACUUCUGGCUGUUGCUGCUUGUUGUCUCUGUAUUCUUGGUCCUGGUGGGCUAGUUUUCUCUGCAAAUCUCUUUCCUGGUGCUUAGCCAAGAGUAGAGAGAGCAGGCUAAAUUCAUGGCGGCUAAUCCACCAGCUCUAUCCACCAGUGGAUUUAGAAAAAUGCUUUGAAUGGCCAGUAAUCACUCAUGAGCCAAGUGCCUCGGAAGCUCUCAGAUUGCAUAUUAGCGUGUCUAAUCCUCCCCACCGCCAGCCGUGAGAGGUAAGUACUGUUCUACCUCUGUUUUUCGGGUGAGGAACUCGGGAGGCUUAAAGAGGUUAACCAGCUUGGCUAUCGAACGACCUGGCUUUAGCAGUGAUCAUCUGGCCUUGAAA
rnacentral:sRNA from 1 species